UGAGUACGAGAUGCUACGGCAUCGAAGCAGUCUAUGUCAUACUUCCAAGAAAAGCUUGCACUGUCAUAAACAAAGAAUGCCUGUACCAUAACCGACACAGGUGGGUAGGUAGAGUAUACUAAGGGGCGCGAGAUAACUCUCUCUAAGGAACUCGGCAAAAUGACUCCGUAACUUCGGGAGAAGGAGUGCCUUAUUUCUAAGGUUGCAAUAACAAGAUCCAAGCAACUGUUUACCAAAAACACAGGUCUCCGCUAAGUCGUAAGACGAUGUAUGGGGGCUGACGCCUGCCCAGUGCCAGAAGGUUAAAGAAGUUGGUUAGCAUUAGCGAAGCUGAUAACUGAAGCCCUGGUGAACGGCGGCCGUAACGAUAACGGUCCUAAGGUAGCGAAAUUCCUUGUCGGGUAAGUUCCGACCCGCACGAAAGGCGUAAUGAUUUGGAUACUGUCUCGGAGAGGGGCUCGGUGAAAUAGACUUGUCUGUGAAGAUGCGGACUACCUGCACCUGGACAGAAAGACCCUAUGAAGCUUUACUGUAACUUGAGAUUGAAAUUGGACUUUAUUUGCGCAGUAUAGGUGGGAGGCGUUGAGAAUAAUCUUGCGGGAUUGUUGGAGCCAUCAGUGAGAUACCACUCUUAAUGUUAGAUUCCUAACUUUGUAUCAUUAUCUGGUCAAAGAACAGUUUCAGGCGGGCAGUUUGACUGGGGCGGUCGCCUCCCAAAGGGUAACGGAGGCGCACAAAGGUUUCCUCUGAACGGGUAGAAAUCGUGUCUAGAGUGUAAAGGCAUAAGGAAGCUUGACUGUGAGACCUACAAGUCGAGCAGGGACGAAAGUCGGUCUUAGUGAUCUGACGGUGCUGAGUGGAAAGGCCGUCACUCAACGGAUAAAAGUUACUCUAAGGAUAACAGGCUGAUCUCCCCCAAGAGUUCACAUCGACGGGGAGGUUUGGCACCUCGAUGUCGGCUCAUCGCAUCCUGGGGCGGUAGUCCGUCCCAAGGGUUGGGCUGUUCGCCCAUGAAAGCGGUACGCGAGCUGGGUUCAGAACGUCGUGAGACAGUUCGGUCCAUAUCCGGUGUAGGCGUUAGAAUAUUGAGAGGAGCCUUCUCUAGUACGAGAGGACCGAGAAGGACAUACCUCUGGUGUACCAGUUAUCGUGCCAACGGUAAACGCUGGGUAGCUAUGUAUGGAGUGGAUAACCGCUGAAAGCAUCUAAGUGGGAAGCCCACCUCAAGAUAAGUAUUCUCAU
rnacentral:rRNA from 1 species